rnacentral:rRNA from 1 species
AACGAACGCUGGCGGCAGGCCUAACACAUGCAAGUCGAGCGGACAUCUUCGGAUGUUAGCGGCGGACGGGUGAGUAACGCGUGGGAACGUGCCCUUUGCUUCGGAAUAGCCUCGGGAAACUGGGGGUAAUACCGGAUGUACCCUUUGGGGGAAAGAUUUAUCGGCAAAGGAUCGGCCCGCGUUGGAUUAGGUAGUUGGUGGGGUAAUGGCCUACCAAGCCGACGAUCCAUAGCUGGUUUGAGAGGAUGAUCAGCCACACUGGGACUGAGACACGGCCCAGACUCCUACGGGAGGCAGCAGUGGGGAAUCUUAGACAAUGGGGGAAACCCUGAUCUAGCCAUGCCGCGUGAGCGAUGAAGGCCUUAGGGUUGUAAAGCUCUUUCACCGGGGAAGAUAAUGACGGUACCCGGAGAAGAAGCCCCGGCUAACUCCGUG